rnacentral:rRNA from 1 species
AGAGUUUGAUCCUGGCUCAGGACGAACGCUGGCGGCGCGCCUAAUACAUGCAAGUCGAACGAGUACGCACUUCGGUGCAAUGUACGAGUGGCGAACGGGUGAGUAACACGUGAGAAACCUGCCUCGGAGACCGGGACAACCAUUGGAAACGAUGGCUAAUACCGGAUGUCCUUACUUGGUCGCAUGAUCGGGUAAGGAAAUGAUCCGUCGCUCCGGGAGGGUCUCGCGGCCUAUCAGCUAGUUGGUGAGGUAAUGGCUCACCAAGGCAUCGACGGGUAGCUGGUCUGAGAGGACGAUCAGCCACACUGGGACUGAGACACGGCCCAGACUCCUACGGGAGGCAGCAGUAGGGAAUCUUGCACAAUGGGCGAAAGCCUGAUGCAGCGACGCCGCGUGGGGGAUGAAGGCCUUCGGGUUGUAAACCCCUUUCAGUAGGGACGAAAAUGACGGUACCUACAGAAGAAGCUCCGGCCAACUACGUGCCAGCAGCCGCGGUAACACGUAGGGAGCAAGCGUUGUCCGGAUUUAUUGGGCGUAAAGAGCUCGUAGGUGGUUCGGUAAGUCGGAUGUGAAAACUCAAGGCUCAACCUUGAGACGCCAUCCGAUACUGCUGUGACUUGAGUUCGGUAGAGGAGUGUGGAAUUCCUGGUGUAGCGGUGAAAUGCGCAGAUAUCAGGAGGAACACCGACAGCGAAGGCAGCACUCUGGGCCGAUACUGACACUGAGGAGCGAAAGCAUGGGGAGCAAACAGGAUUAGAUACCCUGGUAGUCCAUGCCGUAAACGUUGGGCACUAGUGUGGGAAUUUAUCAACGAUCUCCGCGCCGUCGCUAACGCAUUAAGUGCCCCGCCUGGGGAGUACGGCCGCAAGGCUAAAACUCAAAGGGA